rnacentral:rRNA from 1 species
GUACACUCCUACGGGAGGCAGCAGUGGGGAAUAUUGGACAAUGGGCGCAAGCCUGAUCCAGCCAUGCCGCGUGAGUGAUGAAGGCCCUAGGGUUGUAAAGCUCUUUCACCGGUGAAGAUAAUGACGGUAACCGGAGAAGAAGCCCCGGCUAACUUCGUGCCAGCAGCCGCGGUAAUACGAAGGGGGCUAGCGUUGUUCGGAUUUACUGGGCGUAAAGCGCACGUAGGCGGACUAUUAAGUCAGGGGUGAAAUCCCGGGGCUCAACCCCGGAACUGCCUUUGAUACUGGUAGUCUUGAGUUCGAGAGAGGUGAGUGGAAUUCCGAGUGUAGAGGUGAAAUUCGUAGAUAUUCGGAGGAACACCAGUGGCGAAGGCGGCUCACUGGCUCGAUACUGACGCUGAGGUGCGAAAGCGUGGGGAGCAAACAGGAUUAGAUACCCGAGUAGUCC